rnacentral:lncRNA from 1 species
GGGAUGUCUCCAGAGGUUGGCUCUGGGGUUUGGGUGUAAUCUCAUGGGUGGCAUGUCUAACCUGCCCAAUUUCUGCUGCCAGCCAAAGCGCAAAGGGAGAUUCCAGCUGAAGAACCAGGGGUGCCAAAGCCCAGCCCUGCUCCUUCCAGGGAAGAGGAGGCUUCUGGAGGGGGAAGCACUCGGGAACGCACUGUUCCCAUUGACAGAACAUCCCCAGAUGCAGGGGCAGGAGGCUGGUACAGGAGAGAAGGAGAUGUGGUCUGGGACGUGCACAGUGAAGUUUACAUCGAGACCACAGAAAGAACUCGAGUGUAUAAGACUGAGGAGAAGACUCCAACAAGUCCUCCUUACAUGCAAGUGACAAUAGAGGAUGUGCAGGUGAACUCUGGGGAACGUGCCAAAUUCCAGGCAGUCAUUGAAGGAACCCCUCAGCCCACAGUUUUGUGGUUCAAGGUGAGUGCAGACUCUUUCCUGGCUGAGAGUCAGGACUGUAGUGCACAAUUCCACAGGGAAUUUAAU